rnacentral:rRNA from 1 species
AUUGAACGCUGGCGGCAGGCCUAACACAUGCAAGUCGAGCGGAGCGGCAGACGGGUGAGUAAUGCCUAUGACUCUGCCUGGUAGUGGUGGAUAACGUCCGGAACCGGGCGCUAAUACCGCAACCUAUCACAUUAGCCUAGGUCGGAUGAGCUCGUUGGUGGGGUAAAGGCCUACCAAGGCGACGAUCCGUAACUGGUCUUAGAGUAUAAUCAGUCACACUGGAACUUGGACACGGGCCAGACUCCUACGGGAGGCAGCAGUUGGGAAUAUUGGACAAUGGGCGAAAGCCUGAUGCAGCCAUGCCGCGUGUGUGAAGAAGGUCUUCGGAUUGUAAAGCACUCUAAGUUGGGAGGCGUUACAAACAGAAUAAGCACCGGCUAACUUCGUGCCAGCAGCCGCGGUAAUUC